GGUUAAGGUAUGUUAGGGUAAGGUAAAAUAGGUUAGGUGAGGUACGUAAGAUUAAGGUAAGGUAAGGUAGGUUAGGUUCAGGUAAAUUAAAAUUAAGUUAAGAUGCAUUAGAUUAGGGUAAAGUAAGGUAAAGUAGGUUAGGUUCAAGUAAGUUAAUUUAAGAUGCAUUAGAUUAGGGUAAAGUAGGUUAGGUUCAGGUAAGUUAAGUUAAGAUGCAUUAGAUUAGGGUAAAGUAAGGUAAAGUAGGUUAGGUUCAGUUAAGUUAAGUUAAGUUAAGAUGCAUUAGAUUAGGGUAAAGUAAGGUAAAGUAGGUUAGGUUCAGGUAAGUUAAGUUAAGAUGCAUUAGAUUAGGGUAAGGUAAGGUAAAGUAGGUUAGGUUCAGGUAAGUUAAGUUAAGAUGCAUUAGAUUAGGGUAAAGUAAGGUAAAGUAGGUUAGGUUCAGGUAAGUUAAGUUAAGUUAAGUUAAGUUAAGAUGCAUUAGAUUAGGGUAAAGUAAGGUAAAGUAGGUUAGGUUCAGGUAAGUUAAGUUAAGAUGCAUUAGAUUAGGGUAAAGUAAGGUAAAGUAGGUUAGGUUCAGGUAAGUUAAAUUAAGAUGCAUUAGAUUAGGGUAAAGUAAGGUAAAGUAGGUUAGGUUCAGGUAAGUUAAGUUAAGAUGCAUUAGAUUAGGGUAAAGUAAGGUAACUAGGUUAGGUUCAGGUAAAUGAAGUUAAGAUACAUUAGAUUAGGGUAAAGUAAGGUAAGGUAAAGUAAGGUAAGGUAAAUUUAGUUCAGUUAGUACACAAGUAAAUAAAUAAAUAAAUAAAGUAAACAGAUAAAUAUAUAAGAAUUA